UAUAAGUAGCCUAGAGAAGGAAGAGAUAGAGAAGGCUGGUGAGACCAAGGAUUCAGAUGCCAAUACCUCAAGUGAGAGGUCCAAUGCUCAAUCUAGUGGCAGCUCUGAUUCUGAAGGUGAAGACGAUACUUCUUCCUCAGAGUAAGUGGUUUCAAGAUUGUGCUGUGGUGUGGCUGUUGUGUGUGCUGUUAUGGAAGCUGGUCCCCCUGCUGUUUGGAUGCUGAAGAUUUUAUUGUUUUUUUAAAUAUGUGUAAUUUGUGGCAUUCCUUACUAAUGCCUUUAUGUAAUAUUUUGGGCUCUUAAUGAGUUCCAUGGAUUUGUUCAUUAUCUCAGCUAUCACAGCUGUGUAUGAUGAGGGUUUG
rnacentral:lncRNA from 1 species